GUCAAAUUAAUUUGCUGGUCCUUUCUGUUUUCUUCACUCUUAGAAAAGCACCAAAUGUUAAACAAAUAGCACAUGGCUGAGAAAAAAAAUAAGUGUGCGGUUCCUGAGACAAGUGAUGCUCUGAAGAAGUGGGUUGAUUGCGGAGAGACAACUGACCAUAUUCUUAACCAGCAAUGGGUCAUAAUCUACUUAACAAUGGAAGCAUCCAGAAGGGGAAGUGAAAAGAUUUUCUAG
rnacentral:lncRNA from 1 species